UGGGGAAUAUUGCGCAAUGGGGGGAACCCUGACGCAGCCAUGCCGCGUGAAUGAAGAAGGCCUUCGGGUUGUAAAGUUCUUUCGGUAUUGAGGAAGGUUGAUGUGUUAAUAGUACAUCAAAUUGACGUUAAAUACAGAAGAAGCACCGGCUAACUCCGUGCCAGCAGCCGCGGUAAUACGGAAGGUGCGAGCGUUAAUCGGAAUAACUGGGCGUAAAGGGCACGCAGGCGGUUAUUUAAGUGAGGUGUGAAAGCCCCGGGCUUAACCUGGGAAUAGCAUUUCAGACUGGGUAACUAGAGUACUUUAGGGAGGGGUAGAAUUCCACGUGUAGCGGUGAAAUGCGUAGAGAUGUGGAGGAAUACCGAAGGCGAAGGCAGCCCCUUGGGAAUGUACUGACGCUCAUGUGCGAAAGCGUGGGGAGCAAACAGGAUUAGAUACCCUGGUAGUCCACGCUGUAAACGCUGUCGAUUUGGGGGUUGGGGUUUAACUCUGGCGCCCGUAGCUAACGUGAUAAAUCGACCGCCUGGGGAGUACGGCCGCAAGGUUA
rnacentral:rRNA from 1 species